GCCUGCAGGUGGGAUUCUAACUGUUACUUUGUGUCCAGAAGCCUGUGGGUCUGUGGCUUUUUCACUUGGCUGGCUGCAGUUUCAUGGCUCUGACCUCAGAUCUCUAGCUGUCUCACUAUCAGAGUCCCUUACUCCCCAACUGUGUCUUCUCUCUUGUCUGAGUGAGCUUUUUUAAGAUCUACUUUUUUUUUUUUUUUGGACUGACUGCCCGCCCCUGGCCUAAUAACCUCAGUGCUAACCCUAGAUGACUACUUCUCACUCAAGAUCCCGUAACAUUUCGAAGCUGGAAGAGAUGGAUCCAGAGCUUAGAGGAGCUGCCAGAACCCCAGAAGCUGCCAUCUCUCUUCAGAAGCACUCUGCAGAUGAAUUGCUGCCUUCCAGGAUUUUCUGCAGCCUGGGUGGACAAGGCAAUUCUGGAGAGUGCUCAGUCCACUCCAGCAUCUUGACCAGAGCCUUCCACUUUGUUGACUGGAUCCAGCUCAUCAAGGGCUGAGGAAGUCCUUCAGGCUGAGGAAGAUACAUAGAUGAACUAUCUGGAAAAGGAAAUGAGGAAGAAGAUUUGAGAUAAAUGGAUAGCUGGCACGAAGUUUCCAAUUCUCCAGAACCAAGGCCUGCCACCUCUUCAGAGAAAAGUUCAUUUUGGCUGGAGUUCAAGGGGUUAAAGUGGCAGGUGCAACACAUGGUCUCCUCUUUUGGGACCUACCCUGGGAAGACAUCUCUGCAGAGCUGAGUGAGGCUCCCUGCCCAGCUGCUGUCCUGGCCCGCAGGAUCUGGGAACACAUACCCAGAAACAACUCUUCAUCUAUGUGCCUGACCAUGGCUCCUCUGCCCUUCAAAACCUUACCUUCCUCACAUGCUUCCCAGAGAGUACAUGCUUCAAGAAAACCAAAGAAAGAAAAAAUUGCCCCAAGAGUUCUGGAAUUGGCCUCUGGCUACAAAGGGCACUGUGACUGGCUUAUGAAGUUACAUGAUUCUCUGAUGAAACUUUUUGUGACCUAGAGCAGCUACUUAUAGUAUAGUGUAUUCUCUCUGAGUUUAUAUCUGUGGGCUCCACAAAGGGUAUGUAUGCCAAAAGCCUGGGUACCAGUUACCCAGUAACUGAAUCUUCUCCCACUGGAAAAGUGAGGAACAGAGAAGGCAGACAAAUAGUCUAUGAGCUGGCCAAGUUUGUGUGCCCAUCAUCCUUUGGGUAAAAGGCCAAAGGAAUUAGGGACGUGUCCCAAGAAGUAUGGCUGUAGCCAUACCACAAAGUCAUAUAGCCUCUUGGUGCACAUCUUUGUGCAUCUCAAAGACCCAGUCAGUAUUACAUUGACUUAUUCACUCUGUUCCCAACAAGACUCCCUAAUACAGUGAAAGCAAGAACACACCUUCCUUAGCUACUGGCUUCAUUAUAGACCUGAGGCUUGACUUAGUAGUCAAGUAGUCACUUACUGGCCCAGAUCUUCUCUGGCCUUUCAUACAAGGUUCUCUGGCCUUGUUUGUCAUGGCAGGACUUGUGGGACUCACUUGGUGGUCAUGACUGUAGAUCGUGAUGCACAAUGCAGUGAUGGGCUCACAACAGCUCAGCCUUCUUGACACAUGGAAACUUCCUUCAAUAUGACCUGGUGCUCAACCACAUUCUGGGACAAUAGACGCCAGGACCUUUCCCAAAGCACAACCUCUUUAGUCUCUCAGCCAUCCUUUGGUCUUCACUAAGGAAAUACCAAUGGUACCUGGCUGUCUUGGAGGCUGACCACAGCUGCCCUAUGUUUCCCUACUCUACUCGUCAAGAGCACACAUCAGAAACUUGUCUUCUACCAUGAGCCAGUAUUGAAGUCAACACUCUGUCAGCAGUGUAGCCACAGAGAUUAACCUCCCUAUUGUCAGCCAAAGGUGUUACUCUGCUCAUUCUAGGAGGUGUCCCUUGACUGCAUGCAUGCCAGGAAACCUGCAAGCUCCUCCCCGAGUAGGGCCUUGCAAAGAGCCUACUGGCUGUCAGCCCCAUGGUCAUCAUCAGGGCUUCUAUCUGAUAUAUAUGAUCUUUCCAGCUGGGCCAAAGGGAAGUACCAGGAAUCCCUCUGUAGAAGCUCAGUAGGGGAGGACAUGAUAUCAAGUGGGGAUGGAGUAAGGAGGCUGUGGAGACAAACACAAAUGACAGAGCUGUUGAAGCCUUGAUCAGGCAAGAGGAGGAGAAUGAGAUGGCUCCUGGAUUCCCUUCACCUUACCGGGCACACCUUAUGGCUCCAUCUUGUCCCCAGGAGUAGAUUUAAAAGGCAGCAGCAGCCCUCAUUUUCCCUUUGGUAUAAGCUGGGCUUCUACUGGGAACAGGCUGGCUCCUCUUCAUGGACCUGUGCCCUCCAACUCUGCUCUACAGGGGAAGUGUUGGCCCUGUUCCUGCUAGUUGAAGGCCCUUGCCCCUAGCCAGUGCAUGCAUCCCUUUUUCCUUAUCUUAAUGACUAGAAUUUUCCCUCAGACUGUCUUCCUUCUGGCUACACUGUGCUUGAUGCCUUUCUCUCCCCUUCCCCCUUCUCUCUUUCACAUUGUCCCACUUCCCCUUCCCCUUUUUCUCAUUGCCACUCUUCCUCCUCCUGGGCAUACAGUUUCUGUACUUCUGUUCAACUCAUCAGAGAUACUGUUGGUGUAGAAGAGGGGACUAGUAAAGACUCUGAACUCUGUGGGACACUCAGUUCUGUGUGAGUGUUCAGUCAUACACAUAGAACCUUGGAGGGUUGGCCUUUCUUAAGGUGGAAGCCAUGUGGACCAUAUCUCUUUUCAGAACUUGAUGCUUGGUUCACAGUGAACUGAAGGAGGGUGGGGUUAUUAUCUCAAACCUUCCCAUUAGAGGAGGGAGAAUAGGAGCUUGUAUCAUGUUUUCUUGUUGGUGUGUGUGGUUGACAGUUGUUUGGGCGCACUGCCUUAUGAGUUCUAGACUUGUGUUCCUCCUGUGGUUCUCAGUCUGUACCAGAUAGAAACUAGCUCCAAUGUUUAACAAGUGGAUAUGUGAGUUUGUUCUUCAGUCCUUGAAAGAAGAUGAAAAGUGCAGUCAGUGAUUGUGACAGAGACCAGACUAAACUCAGUACCAACCUAGCUCCACUGUACCAUGGCUCGCUCUCUGAUUUCACCCUUUUGAAUUCAUGCCCCUCAUACCAAACUCUCCUCCCUCCUUCACAGACUUAGGGCACAACUGCUGUCUGUUUCUGGCUCAACUUUCCCAGAUAAGAGGAUCUGCGGGACAUCUUAAAGGUUCAUAUUCUAUAAAUGGAUGCAGUCUGCCAAUGGCGGGAUAGAUUUAAAAAGCAAAGGGAAUACAACACAGAAGUAAAUCUUGGUGGCCAUGCCUACCAGGUUUCCUGUGGGACUCAAUUUUUUCUUUUUUUUUUGUAGCACCUCCCCCGGGGUGUGGCCAUCUUUUCUUUGGGGUAAGAAGGCAACAACAUAAAGUGCGAAACAGGUGAAGAGUCAACCCCCAUACCCACUUCUAACCCUUCAGAUGAUUUUUGAGUAUGGGUCCACCCUAGGGCUGGUUACUGCUGCUGAUAGGAUCAGAUGAUAGCAGGCAAGCUGUCCCCUGUGCAACCUGCCCGUGUUCCUUUAUUUUUCAACAACUUCUUGCAGUAUUCUAGAUGAGAUGGUGGUAGGAAGGGCAGGCUCACUCCUCUUCCUCAUGGGGAGAGGGAGAUUAGAAGAACCUGCAGGGCUUAUGUUUGAAUGGAUUUUCGCAAGUUUCCAUAUUUGCUGAUAGAGGUACCCAAUAUUGAAUUGAUGGUAGAUCAUAUUGUAAGUUGCCAUGAUAUCAUUAUGCCUUUUCUUCCCUACAGAUUCUUUAAUUUCUUGAACCUUGUAGACAAAGCAGUAACAUAGUAUCCACAGUCUUGGCGACUAGGAUUCUGCAGACUAUUUUCUGGAGGCUCACAGCGAGGCUUCAUCACCGUGAGACAGUCAUGGGUGUCUCAUGGGUGUCUCGUGUUUGAUGGUUACCUUGGACCCAGGCUCUAUAAUGCAUAGGUAUGAAAUUAAUUUUUCUGAGGUUUUUGGUAGGUUUCAUAGACUCAUAUAUUUGUGGCUGUGACCAGCUGGUGCAGAUCUGAAGAGGUUUGAAGUCUUGUAUGGUGUGGGCCCAGUGACUGUAGUGUAAAUCAGAGUGAUUAUGGUAUCUACAUGUCUAUGGCAAGUUCAUGACAGUCUCCAGCAUCUCUGUUGUUUUUGUCUACAUUCAAGAACACACUGUCUGCUUUUGCGUCAUAUGAGCAAUGUUUCUUUCAUGGAAGUUCUGAACUGCAGGUGUCACGGCCUCUCCCCUCUACAUACAGCCACAUGCCUCUGUGAUGUUGACCAUAACUCCCCUUGCCAUGAAUUCCAUGAUCAAAUCUAUCUUUUUUGGCUUGUCGAAUGGCUGGAAGAUUUCACAGUGCUGGGGUUUAGGACUGCUCUAUUAAUGCUUGAAGGCCUUGUCCAAGAUCUUCACAGCUACUCUGGUAUUGGUGGGUACAUGGAAUGCUGCUUAACCUUUGAAAAUAAGCAGCGGACCAGGGUCAUUAAGACAUAAUAAAUUUAGAGGAUGUCCUCAUCAAAGGGGCUGUUUUCAAGCUUUUCUCCUUUGUUACCUUUACAAAUGGAAAAUGGCACCAUUACACAAUGCUUUAAAAAAUUAGAGCAAAUCUAAGAGGGAAGUUUAUGGCCAUAAAUUCCCAUCUCUUAAAAUCCCAGAUACCUCAAACAACCUAAUGAUGCUCUUCAAGGUUGUAGACAAGAGCAACUGAGACCCCAAAGCAGCUGAUGAUGAAGCAUAAAGAAGAUGAGAGCUGGGGUUGAGUAGGCACCAAAGUGACAAAGAACCAAAGAAACAGAAGUUUAUUUGAAAGGAUCAAGAAAACUGACACCCACCCCCCCCCACUUAGCUCAACUAACAACAAAGGUACUAAUAAAGACAAAAAUUGUUAUCCAAAUAAAUAAAAAUCCAGAAGAUAUCCAGAGGACAAUUAAGCAAACUUAUAUUACAGAGAGAUGACAAUCCUGAAAGAAAAAUAAUUUAAAAUGCUUCAAGACAUCAAUAUACAGAACACAAUUGAAAUAAAGUAUCUCCUAACCAAGCAUAGCUAGAGGCCAGUGAUUCACUGGUGCUUUGUCCACCAUUGAAGAGCAAAGCCCAGUGCUCCUGAAACUAGUCCAUGAAAUAGAAACGGAAGGAAUGCCACUAAAUUGAAGACAGCAUUAUGGUUGUUCCAAAACCCAGACACAAGGCAAAGUGUAACCCAGUUUCCUAGAUGAACAUACACAUAGAAAUCCGUAAUGAGAGUACCAAGUUCACCAGCACAUUAAAAAGCUGAUGCUUCAUGAUCAAGGUGAAUUCAGCAAGGAAUGCUAGAAAUUCCACAUAAACUCAUGUCCAGGCAGGCUCAAAGGAAGACCCCUGUGCUCAGCCACCAAAAGCAGGAUGCUAUCAUUUUCUGGUACAUAGAUGGAUAUUAGCUUAUUUGUAAUACGACAUGGAUGGGUGGAUGAUGGGGCCUUAAUGUAAAGAGAAUUUUAGCCACAUGUUGGAAUCUGGUAAAAAAUUCACAAGGCGGGGGGGAGGGGAUGAUAAAAUUUAAUAUGUG